rnacentral:lncRNA from 1 species
UAAAUAACAUAAAAUGUCAUCUUCUAUAUUCUGAUAAUUAAACAAUUAAUAUAAGUUUUACAAAUUAAAAAAUAUGCUAAAAUACUAAUUAUAAGUAGAAAAUGAAAAAGAAAAAAAGAAAAAAGAAUAAUUACAAGAAAAUGAAAAUGAGACCGUAUGGUAUAAAGGAAACCAACGCAAUCAUUUUUCCAGUGUUACAUUAGCAUCACCUUUAUUAUUGUGAGAUCCUCAUAAUCCUAACAAACAUCUCAGUCUCAUCAAAACAAUACGAAAAACC